rnacentral:rRNA from 1 species
UGGGGAAUUUUGGACAAUGGGGGAAACCCUGAUCCAGCCAUCCCGCGUGUGCGAUGAAGGCCUUCGGGUUGUAAAGCACUUUUGGCAGGAAAGAAACGUCGUGGGUUAAUACCCCGCGAAACUGACGGUACCUGCAGAAUAAGCACCGGCUAACUACGUGCCAGCAGCCGCGGUAAUACGUAGGGUGCAAGCGUUAAUCGGAAUUACUGGGCGUAAAGCGUGCGCAGGCGGUUCGGAAAGAAAGAUGUGAAAUCCCAGAGCUUAACUUUGGAACUGCAUUUUUAACUACCGGGCUAGAGUGUGUCAGAGGGAGGUGGAAUUCCGCGUGUAGCAGUGAAAUGCGUAGAUAUGCGGAGGAACACCGAUGGCGAAGGCAGCCUCCUGGGAUAACACUGACGCUCAUGCACGAAAGCGUGGGGAGCAAACAGGAUUAGAUACCCUGGUAGUCCACGCCCUAAACGAUGUCAACUAGCUGUUGGGGUCUUCGGACCUUGGUAGCGCAGCUAACGCGUGAAGUUGACCGCCUGGGGAGUACGGUCGCAAGAUUAAAACUUAAAUGAAUUGACGGGGUCAUAGCUG